UACGUAGUGUGCGAGCGUUAAUCGGAAUUACUGGGCGUAAAGCGUGCGCAGGCGGUCUGUUAAGACCGAUGUGAAAUCCCCGGGCUUAACCUGGGAACUGCAUUGGUGACUGGCAGGCUUUGAGUGUGGCAGAGGGAGGUAGAAUUCCACGUGUAGCAGUGAAAUGCGUAGAGAUGUGGAGGAAUACCGAUGGCGAAGGCAGCCUCCUGGGCCAACACUGACGCUCAUGCACGAAAGCGUGGGGAGCAAACAGG
rnacentral:rRNA from 1 species